CUCAUAAGAAAAUGACAAUAUUGAUUUUUCCAGUUAUAUUAACUCGGAGUAGCACCUAAUUCGUGUACUGGAAUUUAGGCUGCAUCAGGAGAUUUAUAUGGUGCAGACGAAAAGUUGAUUCAAGCUGAACGCAGUAUUUACAAGAAAAUUGAAUUCACAUACAAUUUAAGUGCUAAUUAUUGUUCAACUUAAUAAGUUGAUGAAAUACUGAUUUUUCCAACCUGUGGUGAACAACAAGGAGAAAUCUUAAAUUUUUCUUGUGGUCUACACCACAAUAUCAUUUUUUCUCAAUAGGAAUUUCUAAUUCAUUUCCUACAUCACACUAACAGUUCGAUGUGGUGGCAUAGAUAAAAUUGCACUGCUUUUGUGGGAGGACAAAACUUAAAGUAUAUAUAUCUAAAUACAAUAAUAAUUAAGAACUUACAAUUAAGAGAUCAACACCCCCUCUGAUCUGAAGUUGGACAUCUCAAUUUGAAGAACUUGCUCAAACAGGUAUGAAUGAGGUAACCUCUGCAAGAUUGAGAAGUGGAAGUCCAGUCUGUUCCCGAGGCUUCUCCCCUUUCAUACGAGAAUCACCACCUUUAGACCGUACCCAGUAUUUCUGUGCCCAAAAUUUCUAAGCUGAUAUAGUUUCUGUUGCACCAAAUAAA